AACAGACAAAGCACAGAACACAUUCAUCUGGGUUAUCAAAGGCUGCUGCUGAAGAAUCAGGGUGUACUCACACUACGCAUGGUUGCCGUGAACCGGGCCCGAGUACGAUUGUCCCCACUCCCCCUCUGGCCUGCACUCACAUAGGGUUUCAGCAUCCGUGCCAGAGCACGGUUACGUCAUUAUGGUGCGACGGUUUCAGGAUAAACAGGAAGACGCAAUGGCGUCCAUCGCUCUGGUUACUUUGUUGAUAGUAAUUUUGAGUCGUUUGGUUCGUGGUGGUCCACAGCCCUCUCACAGCCUGUUGCUAAACAGGUCUAUCGCUUUUGUGGCAAGAAAUUUUUCACUCAAUCGUGCUGCUCGUAUGAGGAGGUGUGCAAGGUACCAGCUGAAGUGCAGCAAGGACUUUGCAGCUUUGAUUACCGACUACAGUUUCCGUACAUCGACAAGGACCAUAUGGAUUCGGCAGAGAUCUGGUGUGUGGUGGCAGCAUGUUCUCAGCAGCUGAACAGACUGUGAGUGGAAGGCUAAUUUCAGAAUGAGAAGGACAGCAUUCUUGCGGUUGUGCAACAGCCUGCAGCCGCACCUUCAAAGACAGACCACUACAUUCAGGAAACCAGUGCCCGUGGACCAACGUGUUACAAUAUGCAUAUGGAGACUGGCCACAAAUGUUGAGUUCAGAACCAUCUCCCAUUUAUUUGGGAUUGGUCAGUCAACUGUUGUUAGCAUUACCAACCAUGUAGCCUCUGCAAUUGUGAAAAAUUUGCUUUCCCUUUUCAUCAGAACACCAUCUGAACAGGAAUUUGAAAGCAUAAUUCCGGAUUUCAGAGACAGGUGGAGCUUCCCACAAUGUGAAGGAGCUAUUGAUGGCACUCAUAUUGGGAUUUUAGCUCCGCCUGUAAGCUCUGCAGACUACUACAACCGGAAAGGUUUCUACUCUGUUAUUCUGCAAGGUGUGGUUGACCAUCGACUUGUGUUCUGGGACUUUAAUGUGGGAUGGCCGGGCAAGGUUCAUGAUGCAAGAGUUUUUGCAAAUUCAUCAUUGGUUGAGAGGGAUCAGAGUAAUACCCUGUUCCCUCGGAUAACAGAGAGGUUUGAAGGAGUAGAUGUGCCAGUGGUGAUUUUGGGGGAUGCUGCAUAUCCAUUACUGCCAUGGUUGAUGAAACCAUAUCCAGAAAAUCAACAAACAACUCCUGCACAGACCACCUUCAACAACCGCCUCAGCAAGGCACAGAUGACUGUGGAAAGGGCUUUUGGCCUAAUGAAAGGAAGGUGGAGAUGCUUAAUGAAGAGGUGUGAUUGCCGCAUAGACAACAAACACAAUUAUCAGCGCCUGUUGCGUGCUUCACAAUUUUUGUCAAGUACAUUUACAUUUACAUCAUUUGGCAGACGCCCUUAGCCAGAGCGACUUACAUAAGUGCUUUAAGACUCCACAAUGAAUUUUUCCCGAUACUAGCUCAAUAAAACCAAGGCUAUGAAUACCAUCGAUCUAAUACUCUGUUGGAAAAGUGCUUUUUUAAAAAAAAAAUUAUUAAGUAAUGCAAGUAUAAUGCCAGAAGUGCUAAUUCAGGUAUUUCUGGAAAAGGUGUUUUAAGUCGUGUGUUUUACCUAUUACAAACAUGUUAUUAAUAAAAACUAAAAAAAAGAUAAAACUUAACCCUUAUAAUAAAAUGCUAAUUUUAAAUACAGUAACAAAAACAUGAACAUGAACUUGAACAACUGUGCCUUUACAGGUUGCGAUAAACAUGUGUAGAGUUAUCGUCCUCAGAGUCUCCGCAUGGUACGGAUACUGCAGCUGAGGAGGAGGAGUAGCAGGAGGAGGUGUAUGAGGAGGAGCAUUUUUCUUGCUGGUAACGCAGGUGCUCCCCAUGCAUGAAUUCUUCAUGAUGUUGUUUCUGCAUGUCUGGAAAGGCAGUCACCAUGUCACUUACUUCUACCUUUCUCUUCCUCUUUUUGCCUUGUUCUGAAGGUAUUGUCUCAGGUUCAGUCUAUUCUGUUGUGUCCUGUAUCUCAUCACCAGUGUUUGAAGCGAUUGUUGAAUCUGAAUUGAAUGAUGUAACUGUUGAAAUAAAAGCAAAAUAAACAUAAA